UACGUAGGGUGCAAGCGUUAAUCGGAAUUACUGGGCGUAAAGCGUGCGCAGGCGGUUUUGUAAGUCUGACGUGAAAUCCCCGGGCUCAACCUGGGAAUUGCGUUGGAGACUGCAAGGCUAGAAUCUGGCAGAGGGGGGUAGAAUUCCACGUGUAGCAGUGAAAUGCGUAGAGAUGUGGAGGAACACCGGUGGCGAAGGCAGCCCCCUGGGUCAAGAUUGACGCUCAUGCACGAAAGCGUGGGGAGCAAACAGG
rnacentral:rRNA from 1 species